rnacentral:rRNA from 1 species
AGUAAUGUCUGGGGAUCUGCCUGAUGGAGGGGGAUAACUACUGGAAACGGUAGCUAAUACCGCAUAAGGUCGCAAGACCAAAGUGGGGGACCUUCGGGCCUCACGCCAUCGGAUGAACCCAGAUGGGAUUAGCUAGUAGGUGGGGUAACGGCUCACCUAGGCGACGAUCCCUAGCUGGUCUGAGAGGAUGACCAGCCACACUGGAACUGAGACACGGUCCAGACUCCUACGGGAGGCAGCAGUGGGGAAUAUUGCACAAUGGGGGAAACCCUGAUGCAGCCAUGCCGCGUGUGUGAAGAAGGCCUUCGGGUUGUAAAGCACUUUCAGCGGGGAGGAAGGCGAUAGGGUUAAUAACCCUGUCGAUUGACGUUACCCGCAGAAGAAGCACCGGCUAACUCCGUGCCAGCAGCCGCGGUAAUACGGAGGGUGCAAGCGUUAAUCGGAAUGACUGGGCGUAAAGCGCACGCAGGCGGUCUGUUAAGUUGGAUGUGAAAUCCCCGGGCUUAACCUGGGAACUGCAUUCAAAACUGACAGGCUAGAGUCUCGUAGAGGGGGGUAGAAUUC